CGUAGGUGAACCUGCGGAAGGAUCAUUACUGAGUGCGGGCUGCCUCCGGGCGCCCAACCUCCCACCCGUGAAUACCUAACACUGUUGCUUCGGCGGGGAACCCCCUCGGGGGCGAGCCGCCGGGGACUACUGAACUUCAUGCCUGAGAGUGAUGCAGUCUGAGUCUGAAUAUAAAAUCAGUCAAAACUUUCAACAAUGGAUCUCUUGGUUCCGGCAUCGAUGAAGAACGCAGCGAACUGCGAUAAGUAAUGUGAAUUGCAGAAUUCAGUGAAUCAUCGAGUCUUUGAACGCACAUUGCGCCCCCUGGCAUUCCGGGGGGCAUGCCUGUCCGAGCGUCAUUGCUGCCCAUCAAGCCCGGCUUGUGUGUUGGGUCGUCGUCCCCCCCGGGGGACGGGCCCGAAAGGCAGCGGCGGCACCGUGUCCGGUCCUCGAGCGUAUGGGGCUUUGUCACCCGCUCGACUAGGGCCGGCCGGGCGCCAGCCGACGUCUCCAACCAUUUUUCUUCAGGUUGACCUCGGAUCAGGUAGGGAUACCCGCUGAACUUAAGCAUAUCAAUAAGCGGAGGAAAAGAAACCAACCGGGAUUGCCUCAGUAACUGCG
rnacentral:rRNA from 1 species